rnacentral:rRNA from 1 species
UACAGAGGUCUCAAGCGUUGUUCGGAUUCAUUGGGCGUAAAGGGUGCGUAGGCGGCGCGGUAAGUCGGGUGUGAAAUCUCGGAGCUUAACUCCGAAACUGCAUUCGAUACUGCCGUGCUUGAGGACUGGAGAGGAGACUGGAAUUUACGGUGUAGCGGUGAAAUGCGUAGAUAUCGUAAGGAAGACCAGUGGCGAAGGCGAGUCUCUGGACAGUUACUGACGCUGAGGCACGAAGGCCAGGGGAGCAAACGGG